AAGACUAUAGACCUGCGGAGUACCUGCGGAAGGAUCAUUACUGGGUUUUUGGGCUCUGCCCGCCACCCGCCCUCUGUUAUUCGUGACUAUUGUUUCGGCCCCCCCAAAAGGGCCGGCAGUAACUCUGAAGCAUCUUGAAGUCUGAUAAACUGUCAAUAAAAAAAAACUUUCAACAACGGAUCUCU
rnacentral:misc_RNA from 1 species